GAGUUUGAUCCUGGCUCAGAUUGAACGCUGGCGGCAUGGCUAAAACAUGCAAGUCGAACGAGAAAGUAACUUCGGUUACGAGUACAGUGGCGAAAGGGCGAGUAAUGCGUUUCUAACGUGCCCCGAAGUGAGGGAUAGCUCAGAGAAAUCUGGGGUAAUACCUCAUAACCCCGUAAAGUCGUAUGGCUUAGCGGGCAAAGGUUUACUGCUUCGGGAUCGGGAAACGUGCUAUCAGGUAGUUGGUGAGGUAAAGGCUCACCAAGCCAGAGACGGCUAGCGGGUGUGAGAGCACGACCCGCCGCAUCGGGACUGAGACACUGCCCGGACUCCUACGGGAGGCUGCAGUAACGAAUAUUCCGCAAUGCGCGAAAGCGUGACGGAGCAAUGCCGCGUGCAGGAUGAAUCCCUUCGGGGUGUAAACUGCUGUCAGGGUUUAGGAAUUUUGACCAGACCCAAAGGAAGGGCCGGCUAACUUCGUGCCAGCAGCCGCGGUAAUACGAAGGGCCCGAGCGUUAAUCGGAAUCACUGGGCUUAAAGGGUGUGCAGGCGGAUCGACAAGUAUCUUGUGAAAUCCCACAGCUCAACUGUGGAAUUGCUCGGUAAACUGUUGAUCU
rnacentral:rRNA from 1 species